CCUACGGGUGGCAGCAGUGAGGAAUAUUGGUCAAUGGGCGGAAGCCUGAACCAGCCAAGUAGCGUGCAGGAUGACGGCCCUACGGGUUGUAAACUGCUUUUAUCCGGGAAUAACGCCCCUUACGUGUAGGGCUUUGCAUGUACCUUAUGAAUAAGGACCGGCUAAUUCCGUGCCAGCAGCCGCGGUAAUACGGAGGGUCCGGGCGUUAUCCGGAUUUAUUGGGUUUAAAGGGGGCGUAGGCCGCAUGUCAAGCGUGCUGUGAAAUGUCCGGGCUCAACCCGGGCCUUGCAGCGGAAACUGGCGGGCUUGAGUUGGAGAAAAGCAGGCGGAAUGCGUGGUGUAGCGGUGAAAUGCAUAGAUAUGGCGAAGAACCCCGAUUGCGAAGGCAGCUUGCUGGCGCGAAACUGACGCUGAGGCACGAAAGCGUGGGUAUCGAACAGGAUUAGAUACCCCUGUAGUC
rnacentral:rRNA from 1 species